UCUUAUCAUGAGAGGUGGAGGGACUGGCCCUUUGAAACCCGGCAACCUGUAUAUAUGUACUGAAUCAUAUAUCUUUAUAUGUAUACAAUGGUGCUAAAUCCUGCAGCUUUAUGUAAGCUGAGAGAUAAGA
rnacentral:ncRNA from 1 species